rnacentral:rRNA from 1 species
AUUGAACGCUGGCGGCAUGCCUUACACAUGCAAGUCGAACGGCAGCACGGGGGCAACCCUGGUGGCGAGUGGCGAACGGGUGAGUAAUGCGAUCGGAACGUGCCCAGUAGUGGGGGAUAACUAGUCGAAAGAUUAGCUAAUACCGCAUACGACCUACGGGUGAAAGCGGGGAUUCGCAAGAACCUCGCGCUAUCGGAGCGGCCGAUGUCUGAUUAGCUAGUUGGCGGGGUAAAAGCCCACCAAGGCUUCGAUCAGUAGCUGGUCUGAGAGGACGACCAGCCACACUGGGACUGAGACACGGCCCAGACUCCUACGGGAGGCAGCAGUUGGGGAAUUUUGGACAAUGGGCGCAAGCCUGAUCCAGCCAUGCCGCGUGCGGGAA